rnacentral:rRNA from 1 species
GAUGAACGCUGACAGAAUGCUUAACACAUGCAAGUCAACUUGAAUUUGGGUUUUUAACUUAGGUUUGGGUGGCGGACGGGUGAGUAACGCGUAAAGAACUUGCCUCACAGCUAGGGACAACAUUUGGAAACGAAUGCUAAUACCUAAUAUUAUGAUAAUAGGGCAUCCUAUAAUUAUGAAAGCUAUAAGCGCUGUGAGAGAGCUUUGCGUCCCAUUAGCUAGUUGGAGAGGUAACGGCUCACCAAGGCGAUGAUGGGUAGCCGGCCUGAGAGGGUGACCGGCCACAAGGGGACUGAGACACGGCCCUUACUCCUACGGGAGGCAGCAGUGGGGAAUAUUGGACAAUGGACCGAGAGUCUGAUCCAGCAAUUCUGCGUGCACGAUGAAGUUUUUCGGAAUGUAAAGUGCUUUCAGUUGGGAAGAAACAAAUGACGGUACCAACAGAAGAAGUGACGGCUAAAUACGUG